CCUCUGCCGCGCUUACGCGCAGUGCUGGCUGCUGUCCUCCCGCCUCACCGCCCGUUCCCCAGUUGCGCUGAGCGGGAAUGCUCGAGCCGUUUUAAGAAAAUGAAUGCAAAAGUUUAGAAAGUGGAGAGACCAGCACAGGGCCAAAAUAUUUUCCGGCUACAAGGGGUCAAGGCAGAAACUACACUGGUCACUCCUCUAAGCCACAGCUCAUCAGUGCGGCCAACCGUUACAUUACAGCGUUGUUUGGAUUUGCGCGAGGACACCCUUUUCACAAAAACUGGUGUGGAGGAAAAGGGGCAUUUCAGUUCGAAAAAUUCUCCUGAUGAUGCUCAGUGUCGCAUUCCUAGAGGCAGGCCCGAGGGGAAGCUUCCCUGGGUAGCUGCAGAGCAUACAAUACUUUUUAAAAGAAGGAAGAAAUUAAUAUUCCAAGCUUUAACAUUUUCGCAUUUGGCACAGUCUUUCACAUUGACAUUUGUUAAACAAUGCACCAGUACGUUUUUCAAAAAGCCCAUAAAAGCAGAAGUAAUUUUCGAAGUACCUAUUGGAAGGUGCCGAACAAGACUUGUAAACUGUGAAGUAACUACUAUGGAAAAGAUUAAGUAAAGCAUUGGAGGCGGAUGAUUUUGACAAUAAAGAGGGUGUAUGUGGUGAGUGUUUAAUAUUU
rnacentral:lncRNA from 1 species